AUUGAACGCUGGCGGCAUGCCUUACACAUGCAAGUCGAACGGCAGCACGGGAGCAAUCCUGGUGGCGAGUGGCGAACGGGUGAGUAAUAUAUCGGAACGUGCCCAGUCGUGGGGGAUAACUACUCGAAAGAGUGGCUAAUACCGCAUACGAUCUACGGAUGAAAGCGGGGGACCUUCGGGCCUCGCGCGAUUGGAGCGGCCGAUAUCAGAUUAGGUAGUUGGUAGGGUAAAAGCCUACCAAGCCUGCGAUCUGUAGCUGGUCUGAGAGGACGACCAGCCACACUGGAACUGAGACACGGUCCAGACUCCUACGGGAGGCAGCAGUGGGGAAUUUUGGACAAUGGGCGCAAGCCUGAUCCAGCAAUGCCGCGUGCAGG
rnacentral:rRNA from 1 species